rnacentral:lncRNA from 1 species
AGAAAUCAGCCAUGGUUUGAGAAGAACAUCUCUUAACAGCGGUGCUUUAAGAUUUGUGCAAUGUACUUUCUAGAACUCUAGGCGUUGUCGGCUGCAUUCGAUCAUAGUUGGCUGUCUUUUGUUCCGCUGACAUCAUUUCGCGGCUGGUACAUUUAGCAAGUGAUGGAUCUGGACCUGUGAGUUGUGACAGCGUCAGCAAAACGACCGCAUUUGUCGAAAGAUUGCGGCCAACUUGUGUCCCAGCGAAGACAGGAGAAGGGAUGUACCAUGUCGAAUCAAAUCCUAGAUUAAACAAAUGAAUUUGCUGUGAAACGUUUAGCGGAAUUUAUUCCUGCGCCAACAGGUUGUGCAAAAUAUUUGCACAAAAUCUUGUUUUUCCAAACACCCGGAUGAUACGAUUCAGUUCUGAAAAAUAUCGCCUUUGACGGAUUUUUCUUCAGUGAGUCUUCCUUUGCCCAACUAAAGCGACAGUUAAAAGGCACAAUAAUAUGGUAGCAUUUGUACCAAAGAUCACGGUCACAAAUAUAUGCUCAGAGAAUGCCGACAUUCUUGUGUGAUGGGGGCUCAAAAUUCCCCAUGCUACACUUUGACCGGUCCAGCCUCUUGCUCGAGAUUAUAUGCAUAAUAGCAUAGACUCACUUGCCAAAGUUCCUAGUAAUGCGUUCAUGAAAUCCACUAACAUCCUCAUUGUCCUAGCCAUCACUUCUAC